GUGUCUGUGGCACAAUUGGUUAGUGCGUUCGGCUGUUAACUGAAAGGUUGGUGGUUCUAGUCUACCCAGGGAUG